rnacentral:SRP_RNA from 1 species
AGUGGCCCGACGGGGCCUCUGCAAUGGAGGCAGUGUGAACCCCGCCAGGCCCGGAAGGGAGCAACGGUAGCAUUGUCUUCCAUGUGCCGGAGAAUCCCUGUCGGGCCUCUAUAU